CCUACGGGAGGCAGCAGUGAGGAAUAUUGGUCAAUGGGCGCGAGCCUGAACCAGCCAAGUCGCGUGAGGGAAGACGGUCCUAUGGAUUGUAAACCUCUUUUGUCGAGGAGCAAAAGACGCCACGCGUGGCGUUCCGAGAGUACCCGAAGAAAAAGCAUCGGCUAACUCCGUGCCAGCAGCCGCGGUAAUACGGAGGAUGCGAGCGUUAUCCGGAUUUAUUGGGUUUAAAGGGUGCGCAGGCGGACGAUUAAGUCAGCGGUAAAAUUGAGAGGCUCAACCUCGUCGAGCCGUUGAAACUGGUUGUCUUGAGUGAGCGAGAGGUAUGCGGAAGGCGUGGUGUAGCGGUGAAAUGCAUAGAUAUCACGCAGAACUCCGAUUGCGAAGGCAGCAUACCGGCGCUCAACUGACGCUCAGGCACGAAAGUGUGGGUAUCGAACAGGAUUAGAUACCCCUGUAGUC
rnacentral:rRNA from 1 species